AAGACUAUACUUUCAGGGAUCAUUUCUAUAGUAUGAAACUAGGGAAGUUUAUCUGAUUCUGUAGAGCACCCCGAAACCACGAGGAGGAGUCAGAGCGUUCUCUCCUGAGCAUGAAGCUCUAGGUGUUGCUUCUGCGACUGCCUUUGGCCAUUGAUGAUCAUUCUUUCCUUCCUUUGGAAGGGGUAGAGGGAGAGGAUGCAGUCUGAGUGGA